rnacentral:rRNA from 1 species
UGGGCCUCAAAUAAUGUGUGACU